GGAUUAGAUACCCUAUUAUUUUAAAUGUAAAUUUGUGACCUGAGUAGUAAUUGUUAAGGUCUUGAAACUUAAAGAAUUUGGCGGCAUUUUAGUCUAUUUAGAGGAAUCUGUUCCAUAAUCGAUAGUCCACGUUGAACCUUACUUGGUUUAUAAGGUAUGUAUACCGCCGUUUAUUGAAUAUUUUUUUAGAAGUUAUGUUCUUCUAAUCUAUUUUUAUCUUAUUUCAGGUCAAGGUGCAGCGUAUAAUUAAGGGGAAAUGGAUUACAAUACUUUAAGGUAGACGUAUUAUUGGGUUGAUAUAUUUGUAUGAAGGUGGAUUUAAUAGUAAUUUUUUGUAGAUUGUAGAUAUGAUUUGAGCUCUAAAAUGUGCACACAUCGCCCGUCACUCUCGUUGAAAUUAUAAAGUGAGAUAAGUC
rnacentral:rRNA from 1 species